rnacentral:tRNA from 1 species
CAGAAGGUAGUUUAUUUAAAACAUCGGCUUUGGGAGCCGGAGAAGGAGGUUUAAAUCUUUCCUUUCUGA